AUGGCCACCAGGCUCCUCUGUUGGGUGGCCCUUUGUCUCCUGAGCAGAGAGCCCAUACAUGCUGGGGUCACCCAGACACCCAGACACAAGGUGACAGACCGAGGACAAGAAGUGGCUCUGACUUGUGAGCCAAUUGCAGGCCAUGACUACCUUUACUGGUACAGACAGACCUCAGUGGAAGGCAUAAAGUUUCUGAUUUCCUUCAGCUAUGCCAAACCUUUGGACAAGUCAGGAAUGCCCAAUGAGCGAUUCUCAGCUGAGAUGCUUAAUAAGUCAUUCUCCACUCUGAAGAUCCAGCCCACAGAACCUGAGGACUCAGCCGUGUACCUCUGUGCCAGCAGAUUAGCCACAGCGCUGCACAGUCACCCCCUCCCUGUGCAGGAACCUCCUGUUUCCCCUUCUCUCAUCAGCCACCAGGUGUCGUGGAUAAAACAAUCCUCUGCUCCAUUCUCUCUAGGAGACAAGUGUAGCUUUGGGACAUGA